rnacentral:precursor_RNA from 1 species
UAAGUGAGANCUUUCAAAUUCAGAGAAACCCUGGAAUAAAAAAUGGGCAAUCCUGAGCCAAAUCCUGUUUUACGAAAAUAAACAAAGGGAUAGGUGCAGAGACUCAAUGGAAGGUGUUCUAACAAAUGGGGUUUGACUACCUUUGCGUUAGUAAAGGAAUCCUUCUAUCGAAACUACAGAAAGGAUGAAGGAUAAACCUAUACGCAUACCUAAAGGUAAUAAAAAACUAUCUCAAAAAAAAGACGACCCAAACCCGUAUUUAUAUAUUUAUUUUUAUAUUUUUAUGAAAAAUACAAAUAUAAAGAAUUGUUGUGAAUUAGUAUUGAUUCUAAGUUGAAGAAGCAAUCGAAUACAACAUUCAUUAAUAAAAUAAUUCACCCCACAGUUUGAUAAAUCUUUUGAACAACUGGUUAAUCGGACAAGAAUAAAGAUAGAGUCCCGUUCUACAUGUCAAUAUCAAUACUGACAACAAUGAAAUUUCUAGUAAGAGGAAAAUCCGUCGACUUUAAAAAUCGUGAGGGUNCA